CCCGCUGUCGGAGAUCGCCGCCCGGUCGUACCGCCCUCUGCCGAACACCCCCACCGCCCGCGGCCAUCGUCCCCCGUCCCCUGCCCCUGCCCCGCGGCUGAAGAGGAUCAGAGAAUAUUGAGGUGUGAAGUUAGUAUACGAGAUAUAGAUGAUCCACAUCAUGUGUAUUGUUGCGUAAAUCUUGGCUCUCUACAUCAUCCUUCAAUCACUUGAAGGUGCACCCCGCUUCUGAUCAGAUCGGAUUUGAGGUGUACGUAUAAUGAUCACAUAAAUGGAAGGCUACAAGAAGAUUUUGGAAAUGGCAAUGGCAUCCAACAAAGACAUUAGACAAGAGUGAUGCCAAACUUCGCCCAGCACCAGGCCAACCCAAAGGGGCAGGUAGCAGCAUAGCAUCGGGUUGCAACAUUUGACGAUGAGGGCAUCUGGCAGCGGCUAUUCAUGCUCGCGUACAGUAGUUGUUAAUUUAUUCCCACAGGAGCAUAGCAACACAACGAGAAGGUAAUCAGCAAAACCUCAAACGUGUAAGUCCAGUUUUCUAACCUGACUUCACUGCAGAGGAAGUACCAAAGAAGACCUACAACUGUAGCGAUGAAUGACUGCAAAAAGAGGUUGUGCAAGAUGUCAAGAUUAUUGUGAAGAUGAAAAACUUCUACCGAAGGCGAGAGCUUUAUAGUUUUGGGAUUCACCGGGUGGCUUCCAUGCAACAUCAUCUUUUGUUGAGGGGAAUCAUGUACCAGCAUAAUAAAUUAUCCCAAGUGAUAUUUCACUUACAUGCCACUUAUAAAUUGGAGUCAAGUUAGGUGCUCCCUCCGUCCGGAAAUACUUGUCAUCAAAAUGAAUAAAAGGAGAUGUAUCUAGACGUAUUUUAGUUUUAGAUACAUCCCUUCUUAUCCAUUUUGAUGACAAGUAUUUUCGGACGGAGCGAGUAUAUAAUAUGCUACAGAGGUUUACCUCUCUUUGUGUAGCAGGUUCAAGGUCUCACCAUGUUGAAGGCAACUUCCAGUUCUAUUUUCAUUUUCAUUUUCAUUUUUUCACCGUGCCAGCGCGUUGUCCAGCGGCGCCACGCCGUCGGCGGCCACGGCUGCUCCACCCGGUCGCCUCCCGCGUCCUUGUCCUAGACUUCCACCAGGCCACGGCUGCUCCACCAUGGCGCCACGGCUUCAACCCCGCCCGGCGAGCUCUGGCUGCCCGGCCACGCCCGACGUCCACGCCCUUCUCGGCUUCGUCCGUGAAGAAAAAGUGAAAAGAGAGGAGAGAAGACAGAGGAGAAAGAGAAAGGAAAAAACGCUGACUGUGGUCCAAAACGCCUAAAAUAUAGCGCCGGCAUCCUCAAGAGCCCCCCGGCGGGCUGGGUUUCGCCUGAGACCGCCAGACAAAUAUUGGCAUCCUCAAGAGCCCCCCGGCGGGCUGGGUUUCGCCUGAGACCGCCAGACAAAUAUUUGGCCAAAUCCGGCGAAAAACGAGACCCUGGGGGUCCGACUGGCCAAAAGGGUCUGUUGGGGGAGCGGCUGGAGAUGCUCUUAGGCUUAAGAUAUAAGGAGAAAUAAUGGUUAUAUACAAAAGUUAAAUACGCAAAGUUUGUCGCUUUGGUAAAGAAUGGAGUUAUGAGAAGACAUGAAAUACGUAUACUCAAUGUCUAACUUGGUUUCACGUUUUGUUGCAUAUGUCUCGAGAGCGGAUAAAGUUGUUGCCCAUGUGUGUGUUACACUGUUACUUGACUGAGAAAAAAAAUGAAAUAUGUA